CGCCGCCGCCGCCUCACCCUCGGCAGCCUGCAAAGUCUGCAGGAGCUGGCGCGCUUCCUCCUCCUCCUCUUCGGUCGCCGCCGCCGCCGCUACCACUGCCUCCCCCCCGGCCGCCGGCCCCGCGCUCGGCUCCGCAGGCAAGGCCGCGCUUUUUGCGUCCCCCCGCGUGUGCCUCUGGCUCAGGGCCUCAGUUUCCCCAUCGGGACAACGGAGAAGAGACCUGUGUUGAUUGACUGCCCGAGAAUCCUCCCCUCCCCACCGCUGGCCCAGCCCCGCAGAGGCGUUGCUAAGCAGAGGCGACUUGGGCUGCCGGACGUGCGCCUCCAGGUCGCGGUUCCGAGCCUGGGCCUCACGGAGUUGACUGCGGAGAGGUGUGGACCGUGAGCCCUUGAGGCUCUGGCGAGAGAGGCUGCUAAAGUUGGUGACUUCCCCCGGCCCCGACCCCGACCCCGACCUGGCGAAGUUCUGGUUGGCCUUAUGGAUGGCCGCUAGCUCCUGGCUCAGGCUCUGCCGGGUCAGCACCUCCUCCUCCAGGGCCUCCUGGAGCUCCCGCAGCGUCACCUCCGGCUCUGCCACCGCCUCCGGAAUGGUCUCCGGAACUGCCGCUUCAACCUGGGUAUGGAAACGGGGCUUAGGGCGACCAGAGGCCUCGGGAGCAUUCAGGACUUCAGCAUAGAUUGCAGGACUGGGAUCCUCCCUUGACCUCUAUUCCUGCACCCCCUAGAUCUUUCUGGAAUCCCCACGGCUCCACAGUGAUCCAGACUCCCUCCUUUGGAGGGCUAAUAGCAGCCCAGUCCUAUUCAUCUCCAGCCUUUAAUCUGGUCUCCUCCCAUCCACCAUCCACACCAAAACCAAAGGGCUGUUCCUACAACACUGCCCAACGUGACCAGGUCCCUCCUCUGCACAAAUUUUCUCCAGCCCCUCAGAGCCCUAGGAGGAGGCACACCACACUGAAAGGCCCUGUCUGGUGUGCCUCCGCUGGCCUCAGCCACCCCACUACUCAUUCUUCACCAUCCUUUCUCCUGGACCAGUAACGCCUUACUACCCUCCUUUUACAUUUAAGAGCAAUCAGCUGGUUCCCACCUCAGAGCCCUCACUCUUAAGGUUCUCUUUGCUUUUCCUCCCAUGGGUGGUCCUUCUCCUUCUCCAGGGCUUCCCCUCCCUUGAAAGUCCCCCUCUAUGCAUUAGAAAUUAGAACUCAGUGACCUGUUCUAAUUUCUUUGUGAGGGUCACGUCUGACUGAAGUAGCCUUGCUCUACUUUGUCUUCCGUCUCUUUCUAUCGAGGAAGUUCCCAGGAGGCCCAGCACUCCACGGCACACUGUAUCCCUGAAGGCCUCCCCUUCUCACCCCUCACUGACUCUCCUCCAGGGACUCACCGCUCCCUCUGGUGGGGGCACUGUGGGUUCCAGGCUGGGCUCAGGCAAUGGCUCGGCCUCCAGUUCCAUGGGUGUGGAGCCCGGGGUCUCAUCGUCCCUGGGGAGAGGAGGACGCCGAGGGGUGGGAGGGUGAGCCAAGGCCUCACCCGAGGCUGCUGAUCCCCUGGGUUUAGAGCCAGGACACCCUAGCCUGUGCCCUGGGGCAGCCAGACCCGAAGUCUCCGUGGUUUGAGAAGGGGGAGAAGCAGAGUAAAGGGGGCAAAUUGCCAGGCUGGGGGUGGGGGGUACAGGUCCUCCUGUUGUUAGGAAAAGGCCAGCCCCUGGCAUGGCCUUAGGCCCCUGGAAGUUGAGUUUCCCUUCUUUGGGAACCUGGGGUCAAGACAGCCAUGUUCUAGGAUCUGCCCUUCCGCUCCAUGUGCCCUUCUCAGGCCCCUCUCCUUAGGGACCAAGGAAGUGAGGGGCACACUGCCCAGCUCUGGCAACCUCCAAAGAGGUGGUCUUCAGACUGGGUGUGGGAUCCCAAGACUGACAGUAGACAGCAGCCCACCCCCUCAAACCCAGGUGCUGGGAGGAAGACAGAUCCUCCCAAGGAAUAUGAAAUUGCAAUAAAAGUGAUUUCCCUCCAACCCAGCAGUCCCUCUUACGGAACUGUGCCUCAAGGACCCAAUGACCCUGGACAAGGAUAAAGACCUUGUGCGAGACCAAUUUGUGGCUGUUCAUCCAGCUUGGGUCAGGACAGAGAGGCUGGUUGACUAAGUCCUGCCGGUCCAGUGGGGAGAGCACUCCCCAGCAGGUCAGGAUUGUGUGGUAGUUUGUUUGUGAUAAGAAAUGGCAUUUGCAGUACGUUGUCCAAUAACAGAAUUAGAAUACAGCAUGUUCCCACAGUUGUUAAGGAGGUGUGUGUGUGUGUGUGAGCCAGGGACCGCUGCUGCUGGCGGGCUUUGUAUUUUCUGAUAUACUUGUGAUAGGCAAAUGUAUUAUUUGCAGAAUCAAUGUUUUAAAAAGGCUUUGUGGUUAUGUAA